rnacentral:rRNA from 1 species
GACGAACGCUGGCGGCGUGCUUAACACAUGCAAGUCGAACGGAAAGGCCCUGCUUUUGUGGGGUGCUCGAGUGGCGAACGGGUGAGUAACACGUGAGUAACCUGCCCUUGACUUUGGGAUAACUUCAGGAAACUGGGGCUAAUACCGGAUAGCAGCUCCUGCUGCAUGGUGGGGGUUGGAAAGUUUCGGCGGUUGGGGUUGGACUCGCGGCUUAUCAGCUUGUUGGUGGGGUAGUGGCUUACCAAGGCUUUGACGGGUAGCCGGCCUGAGAGGGUGACCGGCCACAUUGGGACUGAGAUACGGCCCAGACUCCUACGGGAGGCAGCAGUGGGGAAUAUUGCACAAUGGGCGGAAGCCUGAUGCAGCAACGCCGCGUGCGGGAUGACGGCCUUCGGGUUGUAAACCGCUUUCGCCUGUGACGAAGCGUGAGUGACGGUAAUGGGUAAAGAAGCACCGGCUAACUACGUG